UACGGGGGGAGCAAGCGUUGUUCGGAUUUACUGGGCGUAGAGGGCGCGUAGGCGGCCUCUGCAAGUCGACUGUGAAAUCUCCGGGCUUAACCCGGAAAGGUCAGCCGAUACUGCAGGGCUAGAGUGCAGAAGGGGCAACUGGAAUUCUCGGUGUAGCGGUGAAAUUCGUAGAUAUCAAGCGGAACACCGGUGGCGAAGGCGGCCUUCUGGACAGUGACUGACGCUGAGACGCGAAAGCGUGGGGAGCAAACAGG
rnacentral:rRNA from 1 species